UACGUAGGGCGCAAGCGUUGUCCGGAAUUAUUGGGCGUAAAGAGCUCGUAGGCGGCCUGUCGCGUCUGCUGUGAAAUCCCGGGGCUUAACCCCGGGCGUGCAGUGGAUACGGGCUGGCUGGAGGCAGGCAGGGGAGAAUGGAAUUCCCGGUGUAGCGGUGAAAUGCGCAGAUAUCAGGAGGAACACCGGUGGCGAAGGCGGUGGUCUGGGCCGGCACUGACGCUGAGGAGCGAAAGCGUGGGGAGCGAACAGG
rnacentral:rRNA from 1 species